rnacentral:misc_RNA from 1 species
AACGCACAUUGCGCCUUCUGUAACAGGGAGGCAUGCCUGUCUGAGCGUCAUUUAAACCAAUGGACAAAGUCCGUUUUGGAUGAUCGCCUCUUGGCGUCAUCUUAAAGACAUUGGCCUUAUGAGCGGAUGAGAUCCAUUAGGACUGGCCGCAUACAAGGGCUCUUUCUCUCUGAUUUGACCUCAGAUCAGGUAGGAUUACCGCCUGAACUUAA